GGACUACCAGGGUAUCUAAUCCCGUUUGCUCCCCUGGCUUUCGCGCCUCAGCGUCAGGAAAGGUCCAGUGCGUCGCUUUCGCCACCGGCGUUCCUCGGGAUAUCUACGCAUUUCACCGCUCCACCCUGAGUUCCACGCACCCCUACCUCCCUCCAGGCAGGCAGUAUCAAAGGCUAUUUUCCAGUUGAGCUGAAAGAUUUCACCCCUGACUUGCCUGUCCGCCUACGCGCCCUUUAAGCCCAGUGAAUCCGAACAACGUUUGCACGGUUCGUCUUACCGCGGCUGCUGGCAC
rnacentral:rRNA from 1 species